AUACGAGCUAGACAAGUAGUACUCUCAGCAGAUUGAGGAGAGCACCACAGUGGUCACCACACAGUCCACCGAGGUUGGAGCUGCUGAGAUG
rnacentral:pre_miRNA from 1 species